UACGUAGGGGCCUAGCGUUGUCCGGAUUUAUUGGGCGUAAAGAGCUCGUAGGCGGUUCGGCAAGUCAGCUGUGAAAUCUCCACGCUUAACGUGGAGGGGUCAGCUGAUACUGCCGUGACUCGAGUCCGGUAGGGGAGUGUGGAAUUCCCGGUGUAGCGGUGAAAUGCGUAGAUAUCGUGGAGAACACCCGUGGCGAAGGCGGGCUUCUGGUUGACUUCUGACGCUGAGGUGCGAAAGCUAGGGGAGCGAACGGG
rnacentral:rRNA from 1 species